UGGGGGAAUAUUGCACAAUGGGCGCAAGCCUGAUGCAGCAACGCCGCGUGAGGGAUGACGGCCUUCGGGUUGUAAACCUCUUUUUAGUAGGGGAAGAAGCGAAAGUGACGGUACCUGCAGAAAAAGCACCGGCUAACUACGUGCCAGCAGCCGCGGUAAUACGUAGGGUGCGAGCGUUGUCCGGAAUUAUUGGGCGUAAAGAGCUCGUAGGCGGUCUGUCGCGUCUGCUGUGAAAACCCGAGGCUCAACCUCGGGCCUGCAGUGGGUACGGGCAGACUAGAGUGCGGUAGGGGAGAAUGGAAUUCCUGGUGUAGCGGUGGAAUGCGCAGAUAUCAGGAGGAACACCGAUGGCGAAGGCAGUUCUCUGGGCCGUAACUGACGCUGAGGAGCGAAAGCGUGGGGAGCGAACAGGAUUAGAUACCCU
rnacentral:rRNA from 1 species